AGAAUCCACCGGGGUGCAGCGAGGCUGUGGAAAGUCCCACCCAGAACGUGAGGUGAAGAAGGCUUGGGCUGCGCUGGUUCUGCUCUGUCCGGGUCGGAGAUGAACUGACCCGGGAGAGCAGCGGAGGGAUGUUUCUUUUGGCCAACAGUGGGGACUCACCUGCACGUUUUGCGAAGAGGCCCACAGUCCUUUGCGUGGCGCUCGGACUACAUUUCCCAACGGCCCCUGCACGCCCUGGGGGCUGUUCCAUGCGGUGUUGCGCCUGCGUAGCCGGCGGGCUGGCAGUGAGACUGACUGCGUCGGGGUUGAGACUGGGUGGAUGAGGCUCACCCCGGCGGGGAGAAGGGACGAGGAGGGGCGGACAGCGGAAGGUCCGGGAGUGUCCGCCAUAAAGUCGUUUGAGGUGACCGUUGCGUAAUUGUGAGUCUGUGAGAGAAGAUGUGAAGUAUGGCCUCGUCCCGGUCAUCUGGGCGUGCGGGUCCCGGGUUUUGAUCGCGCGUUUGUGUAGUUUUAACUUCUAGUCAUGGCGAAUGAUCGCAGGAGAGCACAGACUGGACCCUGCUACGAUCUCUCUUGGAGUGGAUCAGACUGAUGAUCACCAACAACCAACUCAUUCCCGGAUAAGGAAGAAGAGAGUGUCACCUACUUCAGUGUGGUUUCAACCCUACUUCUGCAUCUUAAAGACACUGUAUGGUUUCAGCAGUAGUGCCCCUGUUCAUUAGUCCCCCUGAUGUUUUCAUUCCUCAUCUCAUCUUUUUCUUAGCAGCAUUCAAUGAAUCCUUCAUUCUAGAAACACUCUAUAUCUUUGGUUUUCAUGAGACCAUUCUCACCUUGUUUUGUCCUGUGACUUUUUUGAAAAAAACAAAAACAAAAAACCCUUUUUUUCUUUUUAAAUUCUGGUAAAAAACACAAUGAAAAUUUGCUAUCUUAACCAUGUUGAAAUGUGCAGUUAGUAAAGUACAUUCACAUUGUGGUGCAAGCCAUCACUACCAUCCAUCACUAGAACCCUUUUCAUCUUGCAGAUCUGAAACUCUACCCAUUAAACGACUUCCCAUCUUCCCAUCCCCACAGCUCCUAGCAACCAACAUUCUACUUUCUCUAUCAGUUUGACUACUCUAGGUACCUCAUAUGAGUAGAAUCAUACAGCAUUUAUCCUUCUCUGCCUGGCUUAUUUCACUUGUAUAAUGUCCUCAAGGUUCAUUCAUGUUGUAGCAUGCAUCAGAACUUCCUCCCCUUUUAAAGGCUGGAUAAUAUUUCAUGGUAUGUUUAGAUCACAUUCUGUUUAUCCAUUCAUCCAUCAGUGAACACUUGUGCUCCUUCCAACUUUGGGCUGUUGGGUGUCCUGCCACUGUUGCUCCUAGUGCUCAAUCUCGUUUAUUCCCUCCUAAUCAAGUGUACAACGUUGGACACUGUGCAGGAUGAUGCCACUUCAUCUUGGAUGCUAAUCUGCCAUGUUGACUUCUGAUUAACCCCAGGCCCAGGAAUGCCUCAAGAUUUCUACUUUACUUACUGUUGCUUGUGUAAGCCAAGACAACCUUGAUGUUAUCAUAAACAUGUACUUACCUAAGUCCUGUCCUUUGGCAAAUUAUGGGCUAUGAGACACAGCAUUCUUGCCUUUCCCUGAGGGGUCAAUUUCAGCGAUCCUACACAUUCCUUCUGAAGCACUUAUGCUCUUUCUAUAUGGUAUGUAAGCUCUCGGUCUGGGGAGUAACAGUGCAGAGAUCUACCUGUCUUGUUGCCACAUGUUUCUAAACUUUCCAAUAAAUCACCUUCUACUGACAAAAAAAAAAAAAAAAAAAAAAAAAAAAAAAAAAAAAAAAAAAAAAAAAAAAAAAAA
rnacentral:lncRNA from 1 species